UACGAAGGGGGCUAGCGUUGCUCGGAAUCACUGGGCGUAAAGCGCACGUAGGCGGCUUUCUAAGUCAGGGGUGAAAUCCUGGAGCUCAACUCCAGAACUGCCUUUGAUACUGGAGAGCUUGAGUCCGGAAGAGGUGAGUGGAACUCCGAGUGUAGAGGUGAAAUUCGUAGAUAUUCGGAAGAACACCAGUGGCGAAGGCGGCCCACUGGUCCGGUACUGACGCUGAGGUGGCGAAAAGCGUGGGGAGCAAACAGGG
rnacentral:rRNA from 1 species